UACGUAGGCAGCAAGCGUUGUUCGGAGUUACUGGGCGUAAAGGGUGCGUAGGCGGCUUGGUAAGUGUGGUGUGAAAUCUCCCGGCUCAACUGGGAGGGUGCGCUACAAACUGCCGGGCUAGAGUGCGGGAGAGGAGGAGUGGAAUUCCUGGUGUAGCGGUGAAAUGCGUAGAUAUCAGGAGGAACACCGGUGGUGUAAACGGCUCUCUGGACCGUAACUGACGCUGAGGCACGAAAGCGUGGGUAGCAAACAGG
rnacentral:rRNA from 1 species